UGAGCAAACAUGGCGAGUCGUUGCUGCCGGUUUUUGAUCGAUCCUUGAUUAAUUACCCUCUGAAAUUGGACGCGAUUUACUGGAAAAAUGCUCAGAGAAUCCCCUUGCAGUCGCGCCACCCUUCCCUACCGACGAACCGUGUUCGAUCGACCUACACUUUCACCCAAUCGGAGAUUAAGAAACUGAAGAACUCGAUUCAGGAAAGGAUUCCAAAUUUAGCUCACCUCUCAUCUUUCGUCGCGAUCGCAGCUUAUAUCUGGACUAUCAUGGCGAAAUCACUCAGAUCUGAAGCAGACAACGACGGCGACGGCGACGCGUUUUUCUUAAUUCCGAUCGAUUUACGGCCGCGUUUGGAUCCGGCGGUUCCGGGGAACUACUUCGGCAACUGCCUGUCCUUCGCGCUGCCGAGGAUCGGGCGGCGGGAGCUGGCCGGAGAGGAGGGGCUGUUUCUGGCGGCGGAGGCGGCGGCGGCGGCGAUAGAGGAAAGGACGGGCGACAAGAAGAUUCUAGAGAGUGUGGAGAAAUGGUCGGGCGAGAUCCGCCAGGCGUUGCAGGAGUCGUUCUUCUCGGUAGCCGGGUCGACCCGGCUGGAUCUAUACGGGGCGGAUUUCGGGUGGGGCAGGGCGAGGAAGCAGGAGAUAUUGUCGAUUGAUGGGGAGAAAUAUGCGAUGACGCUUUGCAAAUCAAGGGAUUUUGUGGGAGGAUUCGAGGUUUGCUUGUCUUUGCCCAAGGACAAAAUGGAGGCUUUUCAUGCUUAUUUUGCCAAGGGAAUUAAUUAACCUUAAUAGUAUGUGUGUGUUUCUUAAUUUGUAUGAAAUUUUUUUCACUCAAAAAAAAAAUUGUAUGAAAUUUUAUAGUAUUUUGUUACAUAUGUAAUACGGUGGAGUAAGAUGGAGGCUGUGUUUGUGAUAGUACUUCGGGCCCUAAUGGUUUCUCCUCUCUUUUUAUUAGCACUGCUGGGACUUUGUGGGAGUGACGUGAUUGCUACGGUCCAGGAUUUUUUCCUGGCAAUUUCAUGCCCCGAAGCUUUACUGCUACUACUAUCGUCUUGCUCUCUAAGAAGACGAACCCGGAGACUUGGGACUGACUAUCGUCCUAUUAGCCUUUGUAACACCCCAAUUGGAGAGCCAAUCCANAGCAAACAUGGCGAGUGCCUGCCGGUUUUUGAUCGAUCCUUGAUUAAUUACCCUCUGAAAUUGGACGCGAUUUACUGGAAAAAUGCUCAGAGAAUCCCCUUGCAGUCGCGCCACCCUUCCCUACCGACGAACCGUGUUCGAUCGACCUACACUUUCACCCAAUCGGAGAUUAAGAAACUGAAGAACUCGAUUCAGGAAAGGAUUCCAAAUUUAGCUCACCUCUCAUCUUUCGUCGCGAUCGCAGCUUAUAUCUGGACUAUCAUGGCGAAAUCACUCAGAUCUGAAGCAGACAACGACGGCGACGGCGACGCGUUUUUCUUAAUUCCGAUCGAUUUACGGCCGCGUUUGGAUCCGGCGGUUCCGGGG
rnacentral:lncRNA from 1 species